GACGAACGCCGGCGGCGUGCUUAACACAUGCAAGUCGAGCGGAAAGGCUCCUUCGGGGGUACUCGAGCGGCGAACGGGUGAGUAACACGUGAGUAAUCUGCCCUUCGCUCUGGGAUAGCCACCGGCAACGGAGAUUAAUACCGGAUAUGACCGCUACACUCAUGUGUUGGUGGUGGAAAGUUUUUCGGCGCAGGAUGUGCUCGCGGCCUAUCAGCUUGUUUGUGAGGUAAUGGCUAGCCAAGGCUUUGACGGGUAGCCGGCCUGAGAGGGUGACAGGUCAAGCUGGGACUGGGAUAAGGCCCAGACUCAUACGGGAGGGAGCAGUGGAGAAGAUUGGACAAUGGACGGGAGCCUGACUCAGCAACGCCGCGUGGGGGAAGACGGCCUUCGGGUUGUGAACCUAUGUCCGUACCGACGAAGCGAAAGUGACGGUAGGUACAGAAGAAGGACCGGCUAACUACGUGCCAGCAGCCGCUGUAAUAC
rnacentral:rRNA from 1 species